AUUUGUCGUGUGUCUUGUUUGAAAUAUUGUCCAAACAAGGCUUGCAGCAGUUAAAUCA
rfam:Streptococcus suis 05ZYH33, complete genome.